rnacentral:rRNA from 1 species
CGGCGCGUCUUAAGCAUGCAAGUCGAAUGGCAAGAUAAGAGCUUGCUCUUAUCCUAGAAUGGCGGACUGGUGAGUAACGCGUGGGUGACGUACCUCUUGGAUGGGGAUAGCUACUGGAAACAGUAGAUAAUACCGAAUACGCUGCAUGGAUUUAGAGGCCAUGCAGGAAAGCAGCUUUUGCUGCACCGAGAGAGCGGCCCGCGGGCUAUUAGCUUGUUGGCGGGUAACGGCCCACCAAGGCGACGAUAGCUACCCGGCCUAAGAGGGUGAUCGGGCACAUUGGGACUGAGAUACGGCCCAGACUCCUACGGGAGGCAGCAGCUAAGAAUAUUCCGCAAUGGACGAAAGUCUGACGGAGCGACGCCGCGUGGACGAGGAAGGCCGGAAGGUUGUAAAGUCCUUUUAUGACUGAGGAAUAAGCAGAGUGAGAGAAACGCUUUGUGGUGACUGUAGGUCAUGAAUAAGCAACGGCUAAUUACGUGCC